GCAGUUUGGUAGUGGGCACCGGCUGGUGUUCUCUAAUUCCAUUCAAUUAUGAUGCCAUGAGAACAUGGAAUUAACAUCAGAUCCCCUGGGUAGAGAAUGCAGAUCCCAAGUCUGUCACCCCUGCCUCCACGUGCACACCCAUCACAGCCCUGGUGUUUCACCUGCAUUUCAGACGGAGUGAAAUCAUCACCUGAGCUUCCCACAUCCCUUUUCUUGGGUUCUACCCAUUUGCCCGAGUGACGCAUGGAACCCAGGCUUCCAAAAGCCAUCUUCAACCAGUAAGUACUGGAGACCCCGAGAGGGGCAGGGAAGGCUCAGUUCCAGCCUGCACAGCCACCCCGACCUGCAGAGCCCAAGCCAAGCUAUGUGCUGUCGACUGUGGCUCUUUCUUCUAAACACAAACGCAAUGUCCCUGCAGAGCUGCGUAAAACAAAGGCAGCUGAACUCAAUCCAGAUGGAAUCCAAGGAAACACUCUCAAAUGAAUCCUAGCAAGGAGUUCUGGGUGGAGAAACAACUCCAAUCUACCCUUUAUAGAUGGAAAUGCGGUCAAACUACUCUUCCUGAGGGCACAGUCACGAGAAAAACCAGCAGCCAACACCCCCAAAGACUUAAUGAGGAAGCUCAAAGGCGGGCCAGUGUCUAAAUUCUAAGCCACUCAGUUGCCAA
rnacentral:lncRNA from 1 species